rfam:Firmicutes bacterium ML8_F2 scaffold_41, whole genome shotgun sequence.
GCAACUGAUUCCAAACUGCCCGAUGCCCAGGCUGCUCAUGAAGGUGCUACAACGGCCAUGCUGGCGGCACUGGCCGGAGGGAAUUACAUUCAUGAAGCCU